UAACCUGCUAAAUAGUUAAACCUGAUUUUUUAUCAGGUUGACAACUUCUUAGAGGGACUAUCGGUGUUUAACCGAUGGAAGUUUGAGGCAAUAACAGGUCUGUGAUGCCCUUAGAUGUCCUGGGCCGCACGCGCGCUACACUGAUGAAGUCAACGAGUUUAUAACCUUAUCCGGAAGGAUUGGGUAAUCUUUUGAAACUUCAUCGUGCUGGGGAUAGAGCAUUGCAAUUAUUGCUCUUAAACGAGGAAUCCCUAGUAGGCACGAGUCAUCAGCUCGUGCCGAUUACGUCCCUGCCCUUGUACACACCGCCCGUCGCUCGCUACCGAUUGAAUUGGCUUGAUGACGUA
rnacentral:rRNA from 1 species